AUACCCCGCGGGACCCCGCCCCCUGCCCGUCAAACCCCGUAAGGCUCCGCUCCCGGUCCGCCAUACCUGUCAAGGCCGGGCUGCCUGUCAAACACGGCGCGGCAAAGGCCGCGGUAGUUACUCUGUCGCCUGGCUGCGGCGCAGUCUGUGCCCUGAAGUGAAGUGAAGUAAAAGCCGCUCAGUCGUGUCCGACUUUUUGCGACCCCAUGCACUAUACAGUCCAUGGUAUUCUCCAGGCCAGAAUACUGGAGUGGGUAGCCUUUCUCUCAGGGGAUCUUCCCAAUCCAGGGAUCGAACCCAGGUCUCCCCGCAUUGCGGGCGGAUUCUUUACCAGCUGAGCCGCAAGGAGAACCCGUCUGUGCCCUAAGGGGACUUAAGCAGCUCUCUGUCGAAGUGUGGAGAUUAGGGGAAUAUGAAGGUUAAGACUAUCAUCUGCAAGCCUCAGCCCUGAGUCAAUCUCAUCGCGUUGGGGCGUGUGUCCCUGGGGGACGGGCCGGGCCCCGGCAGUGGGCGCAGAGAAUAGCGGUGCGUAAGGAGCGUGUGUCCAAGACGAGCGGUGUGGCGGGGGCGUGGCCCCGGCAGUCCCCGUCCCCCCAGGAUCUGCAGAAAUGGCUUGGCCUUGCUGGAAACGCCUUCACUUGCCUUUCCCCUCCCACUAAAAAUGGCCUGGAGUCUGAAAGUCAUGGAUCGAGGUGCCAGCAGACUUCAUUUCAAGAUGCAGAGCAUUGGAUUGGUCUCAUCCAUUCCAUUUAAAGCCUCAAGAGCAAAGACGGAGGUUUCCCACAGAAGAAGGAAGUCUGCCUCAAGACUGUAGCACAGAAAUCCUGCCCGAGUCUUCAGCCCGACAGCUCGUCCUACAGACCUCAGCUUGCCAGCACCCACAGUUACAUGAGCUGAUUCCUCAAAAUAAAUCUCUUUAAAU
ensembl:lncRNA